rnacentral:lncRNA from 1 species
GGGAUGCCCCGCAGGCCUGGACUGAUCCACCAGGAGAACUUCAGUGCAUCAUGGGUCCUGCUAUUGCUCAUCCUCUUCCCUGGAAAUGUGCGGUUUCACAGGAUGGUAAACAUCUUUCCCUGGAACAGAGCCUUGAGGAUGCUAUGGUGCAGUAUGAUGACCACCAUCCCAGUCUGCCAAGGAAUGAGUAACUUCCUGCAAUUUAGGACUUUCGGCCCUAAAACCAGUACAGUCCUGGACACACUAAGAUUGUUGGUCACCCUAGAAGAAUGGAGAUCUGGCGGCUACCACUCACAUAUACUCGUAGAACAUUGAUUGCAAGGUAACUUACUGGCUGAAGCAGGUGAUGCAUUGCUUCGGUGGGGCUGAUGUCGAAAACCUUCAGCUUCCCAAGACAACACUGAUCAGGCCUCCAGGAGCAUUUCUCCUGCUCAGUGUCACAGUGCCACUGCAGAGCGCAAUUCCUGGGGCACGUCGGACAUUCAGUAAAUACGUUUAUUGAAUGAAUAAAACAUAACACAGUAAGUAAUUCAUCUUAAAGUCAACCAUUUACAUUACUUUUUAUCCCUGAAUACCCUUCCUCUACCUGUCAAUUCAGCAGUCCAAGGGAAAAACCAGCUUGGUCAACAUUAAAUUUGGAGCUCCCACAUCAUAUAUUUUCAUAGAACUAAACUAAGACAUAGUUUAAAGAGAAAAUGUUUCACUCCUCACGUGACCAUGUUCUCUUUGGACUGGCUUUUCCCCUUCCAUUCCAUAUCUCUAAGUCCAGUUUAUCCUUUGAGUCCUGACUCACUCAAGCUUCUCCCCACUUCCUUCCUUGACCACUUGUUAAGUGUUUGCACCAGUAGUCUAGAAGUAUAAAGGCAUACACCUCAUUAUCACUACACACUGUUUCAUAGGUAAGUCUUAAUUUCAAAUUAGUUCCUAACUCCUUGUUGACAAUGACUAUGACCAAGACGUCAAUCCUCCUUUAGGGUCUAAAACAGUACUGUGCAUGUCAGAGGCAUUCAUUAUAUGCUUGUGAAUUGACCAGAAUAAAUGACCGAAUUGAAGUCUGAUUUUGGUCAAUUCACCAGACAAAGGGCCACAGAAGCAUUGCAUCCUUUCAUGACAGAAUUAGGGCAUGAUUCCAUUUCUAUAUGAAAUACUAGCUGUGUGUUGUUAUUAAAAUUAUUUUCUGGCCCCACUGAGAGUUGAAAGAAAAGUUGAAAUUUAAAGGAUUCCUUCUAUUCAUCAUUUUUAAGAAAUUUCAUUUUUAGUUAUGAGGCAGUGUAAGGCAUAUUACCAUUUUAUUUGGACACUUAUUUAGACCAGAUUGCAAAUUUUCUGUUAAUUGAGUGCUGAAUUGGCCAACACACCAUUGUAGAUGUACUCCAUAGCUUCUGCACAUGGAAUUUAUUACAGACUUUUCAUCCACAUCUGCUCCUUUACUUUGCUUAAUAUACUAUAGUAUUUCUCUUAGAUACAGGGGAAGACAAAGAAUAUCAAAUGACAAGUGAAGAAAAAUUAACUUAGAAUUAUUCACAGUUAAAUUGUAUCUAUACUCAGGUUAUCUAAUAAAAUAUUAAAUAAACUAUGUAUCUUUUUUGUUGUCCUGUUAUAUACUUUCCAUGUUUCUCAUUACACAAAUACACAUUUAGAAAGCUGAAAAUAUGUAGAUGAGCAAAUACGAGGUUACCUAAAAUCCUAUCAUCCAGAGAUGAUAACUAUUGACAUUCUGCUAUAUAUACUUCUAAACAUUUUCUUGUAAAACAUAAUUUUUAAAUAGAUUAUAUUCGUAUUUUUGAGGAAAAUAUUUUUCAGUUAACAAGUUGCUAUUUCAAAAUUAACACUGUAAAUUCCUUUCUAUGACAGUAAAUACACAUGUAUAUUUCAUGUGAAAUAGUUGUAGCAACUUUUACUGUAUAAACCCAUGUAACAUAUUUAGCAAAUCAAUACAUAUUGUAGGAAACUUAGUUUCCAAUUUUCAAUAUGUUAAAAUUUUGACAAGAAUAUUUUUGUGUAAACAUUUUUAUAAGUAUAUAAUGCUUCCUGAGGAUAAAUUCUAAAAAGAGGUCUUACUAAGUCAAUAUAUAUUUUUUCCUAUAAUUUUGACAUGAUUUGCGAAUUUGCCCUUCAAAAAACUUAUACCCAUUUAUACUCUGUUUCACCCUUCCUAAAAAGUACUAGUUAUCAUCCUUCACUUUUCAUGUUUAGAAUCGGUUAGGUGAAAAAUAGCAUUUCCAUUUACUAUUUUUUAUUAUUUUCAACUACUGUUGAGGUUAAAUAUCUUUCUAUGUGGUUUUGGGCCAAUUUUAUUUUUCUACUAGAAUGAUAAUCUUUUAUUGGUUUUUCAGACUAUUACCUAUAUUCCUGAGUCUGACAUAUCAAAGUUUUUAAUCCAAUAAAUAAAAUAUCAUUUUAAUAAAAAAAAAAAAA